GUAGUCCAUGAGCCAGUCAUUAAUGUUUCUCUGCCACCUUGUAAACCUAGUAGGGUCUUUUGACCUCCUAAAAGAUACAUGGGUUUCCUUACAAAGGAAGUAAAGAAAAUAUUUUUCAUAAGAGUAGGGGUCAUGGUGAUGAUCCCAAUACCUUUGACGAGGCGAUGUCUGAUAUCGAUUUCUUGAAAUGGUUAGAUGCUAUG
rnacentral:lncRNA from 1 species